GUGCCAGCAGCCGCGGUAAUACGGAGGGGGCCAGCGUUGCUCGGAAUCACUGGGCGUAAAGGGCUCGUAGGCGGUCUGAUAAGUCCUGUGUGAAAUCCCUUGGCUUAACCAAGGAACUGCGCCGGAUACUGUCGGACUAGAGGCCGGGAGAGGGAAGCGGAAUUCCGAGUGUAGCGGUGAAAUGCGUAGAUAUUCGGAGGAACACCGGUGGCGAAGGCGGCUUCCUGGACCGGUUCUGACGCUGAUGAGCGAAAGCUAGGGUAGCAAACAGGAUUAGAUACCCUAGUAGUCC
rnacentral:rRNA from 1 species